ACUCCUGCGCAAGCGCAGAGUGAAGAGCCGGAAACAGCUGAAGGGGUGAGGAAGAUAAUGGGGGAGGACCGCGAGGCGGCCUCUGUGAGCCUACAGGAACACGGAGUCGAUCAGCCAGACUCGCCUGUGCACAGAGCAGAUGAGGUGAGGGGGCUGCUGCGCAGGCGUUGUGUGGAGGCGGGCUGUAUUCGGCACAGGCCUUGUGCGGAGGAAGCCACGGCGCAGCCUCCACAAUGUGGAGGACACGCCCCCCCCCGCCCCCGACUUGGCGCAGGCGCGGUGUGAAGGAGGCCGGACUUGGCGCAGGUGCAGUGUGGAGAAGGCCUCCCCGGAGGUGCAGACGCAGGUAGGGCAAUGGCCGCUGGGGUCUGAUGGGCAGCCCAGCCCUCCUCGAGUUUCAUGGGCUUGGCCUGCUGGCCUCCUUCAACUGGUGCCGCCGCGUCGCCUACGGGCCUGGCCAUAUCCUCCCGCCUGGGCAGGCACUUCUGUGCUGCUUUUUAAUUGAGAUUUUUCCAUCCCCUGCACAGGAAGUGUCCUUUAAUUACUCCAAUGUUUUUAUAGUUACUUUUUAAGAAACAUUUUGGACUUUUCAAUACAGAAUGGUGUCAAAAUAAAGUUGAACCUUCUUCAGGUUAUAUUUUAGUGACUGAUAUAUGUUCCAAAGUUGUAUGGGAUUUCUAAAAUUCUAAUUUGAGUAUAUGCUACCACUCAUAAUUACGGUUAUUAUGUUGUUAUUGUAACUAAAUAUCCUUGUCAAUUGUGUCUUUGUGAGUACUCAGAGUCAUUUCCUCAGUUAAUUGCUUCAGGCUGAUGUAGUUUCUGAAAACUUCACAAGCACACAAAAUCGUAGAGCAUGGUGUCUUUUAGGAGGUUCAUGAAAGGAUGGCAAGGAUGCUGAAAAGCACUGUUGAAUGCAGGUUUCUAAUAACUUUAAAAUCACAUCAUUUGGACUGGGUAAGAAUUGCUGAAACUUUAAUGAAAAGACUGGCUUAUAAAAUUGCUAACCCAAAUAGAACAAAAAUUAAUUAAAUACCAAGGAAAUACUUCAGCAGGUUUGCAUUCUAAAUCAGCCAAUACUGAAAUUGCUUAGGUACUCAAUUUGAGUGAACUCCAUGGUCUAAGUCAAAUUACCUGUGGUAACCCAUCAGUUAUCCAUGCUAUGCACCGAAUUUGGAGAAGCAAUUGGUACCCAAGAGGACGUAAGUCCAGUGUUAAGCAUGGAUUCAUGGAGAACCAGGACAGCUGCCUUGUCCUUCCUGAAUCUUAAAGCUUUUGUUAUUAAAAGUUGUGCAUUCCAUGACUCAUCUGGAAAAGACAAAAUGAUCCAAAUUAAAUAUAUUGGUGUGGUGAUUAAUAAAUUGUUAAAAUAGUUUAUAACCAAUGUUUAGUUUGUCAAACCGUCAAAGCAUCACGUACGUUUGGCUACCUGAGGGGCCAUUUAAACAUUUAUAAAGGGAUUUCAUUCAGUUUUCAUUUUCAGUGUAUGUUUUCUGGUUGUAUGAAAGCCUUGCCAUGCAGGAGGACUAGUGUUAUAACAGUAGAUUAUUAUGCUUCAUUGUAUUUUCACCAAGUGAAGAGCUUUUUAUUGUUCACUGAGGACAAUCAAUCCGUUCACAGUUUAGAACCCAAAGAUGGAAUCUUUGAGAACAUCAGAGGAAAACUUCCCUUGCCAUCCACACUGCAAUAAAACAUCAGGAUCUUGAACCUUGUGGUCAUAAUCUCACACCUGAGGAGGGUCACUCCACACUCUUGGAAUGGUACAUUCAUUGAAACCCUAAGUUGGAUUGCACUACACACUUGGUUUUGCAAUUGACUCUGGGACUCAUGGCGUGACCGUGUGCCUGAGGCUGACUCAGAAUUCCCGCCAUCGCCCUCUGCUGCUCACCUGGCCAUCCUCGGCACCUGGUUGGAAAUGGAAUUUGGACACUGCAUUGCGUUCGCCUUGUGCGGCAGCUGCAGACCCUCUCGCGACCGCCCCAGGAAACACUGGCAGCUAGUGAGAAUCUUCAGGCAGCCAUGAGCAGUGUGAGAUGAUUUUGCCAACUGCAGCAUCGUGUCCAUGCUCUGAGCAUGUCUGAGUGUCUGAGUGAGAGGGCUCAGCUAUGAUGCCCGGAAGCUUGGGCAUUGGGAGCUCUGAAGACCUCCUUGACAUUCACUCCCUGAAGUCCCCAGAGCCACCGCUCUUCCCUGACAUCUGUGCAAGGCAGGAGGUGCGGGGUCAGUUUCCACAAGGAAGAGUGACUCAUCCAGGCCGUUGUUCCAUGGAGAUAUGACUUUUGCAACAUUUGUAACUUUCCUGUUAGCCUAAAAUUAUCUCAAAAUACAAAGUUAAAAAAUGAAUCAAGUGAGUUAACACUGGAAUUUGCAGAUGAACACUGACGAUACCAACAAUAAUAAAAAUAAUAAUGCCCUUUGUUGAGUGUGGCAAGCAGUGUGCUAGCACCUCGUCAAA